UAAAGUGCUGCCUGGCUCCCCCCAAAGACUGCAAGUGCCUUCUGCUCAGAGCUAAAUCCAAGAGCCUCGCUUAGUAUCCAGCACAUACAUGCCCCGCCUGAGCCAUGCCCCAGGUGUGCUCACCUGGCCCAGCAGCUCCAGGAAGCAGGAGCAGAGAGGAAGCCUGACUCUACCUGCAGACGGAUCCUGGAGGAUAGAAACUUUGCAGGAAGCAGCCCUGCCAGCCUCGGUGAUGCCUUCGUAAGGAUGGGAAAAGCCUGCCCCUUCCUCUGGCAGACACAGCCCCAUCCGUGUGCAGGAAACAAGCUGUAUUUCAGCCCCACGCAUCCACUUGGCUGCACAACCACAACAAUGGCCUGCGUGGGAGCUCCCGUCUUAUGGGCUGAGGACAGCGCUGCCCGGGGGAGGGUGUCAAGGGCCCCCUCCAUACACUCAAAGUUACUGUCAGAAGGUCAAUGGCUGAGCUCCCCAGGAGAGUAGCCAUCAGUUGUAUGUGGCUAUUUAAAUUUACAGUAAAACUAAAUAAAAUGAAAAAUUUCAUACUUUA